CGGAGUUGCUACAACCCCAAGUUAAGCACGCGCACGAGGAUACAUAAAGCUCCGAUCAGUGGAGCACAGAUUAAGCGAGUCACCAUGGAGACGGAGGGAAAGAAGGCGCGGUCGACGUAUUUCACAGCGCUCGAGGCGGAAAUUCUGAUGGCAGCAUAUGCCGACAGCAUGCACAUCAUGCAGAAAAAAAGUAACACAGCCGCAGCUGCAAAGGAAAGGGAGCAUGCAUGGCAAAACAUAGCCGACAGAGUCAAUGCGUGCAACCCAACAGGCCCCAAACGUUCCUGGCAGCAAGUAAAAAUGAAGUAUAAAAACAUAGUCCAAACAGCCAACAGAAAAAAAGCGGAGGCCCGAAAAACAGGUGGGGGUCCUCCACCACCACCACUCACAGAGGCUGAGCAGUUGGCCCUCAGCCAAAACAGUGGGCGCCCUGUGGCUGAAGGCAUCUCUGCGGGGACAUCCUCUGUGGCAACAACCCCACAAGACACAAGUGCCUACAUAAGGGUUGACGGUGAUGGUGUACUGCAUCUGGUGCAGCCCCCUGUUGAGCCAGACCGACAUGCAGUUGCACAUGAUGACGAAACAGUGACAGCUGCUACAGAGGAGGCCGCAACAGAGCCACACUAUGAGAGUGAUGCUGGAAAUGAAGAGGAAGAGGGUCCAGCCACUCCUACAACGAACCUUUCCACAGUGGGUUGUUCAGCACUGAUUUACAACCAACCUAAGUAGGCAUGUACUAUGGAUGCCAAUGCUAUGUCCCUUGUUGCAAUAGCUCCCUGUGAAGCAGCUGUAUAAGACAUAUCUGGCCAGGAAGAUAAGAAAGUGCGACAUGGAAAUGGUGCACCUCCAGCUGCAGAUCCAAAAGUCGAAGCUGGAGAUUGUACUGCUGGAACAACAGUUAAGGG
ensembl:lncRNA